rnacentral:hammerhead_ribozyme from 1 species
AUCCAGCUGACGGAUUCCAAACAGGACGAAACACGCGUCCUGGAU